UUUCCGUAGGUGAACCUGCGGAAGGAUCAUUAUUGUAUAACCGAGGUGCGAGGGCUGUCGCUGACCCGAAAGGUCGUGCACGCCCGAGUGCCCGCACACACAUCCAUCUCACCCCUAUGUGCACCACCGCGUGGGUCCCCCUUUGGCUUGUUCGGAGGGGGGCUUACGUUUUCACACGAACUUUGUAUGCAGUGUAGAAUGUAUUUUUUGUUUUUGCGAUCACGCAAUCAAUACAACUUUCAACAACGGAUCUCUUGGCUCUC
rnacentral:misc_RNA from 1 species